CUCUUUAGCUUGGCAUUUGAAUCGGCUUUGCUGUUGCGAAGUAGAGUGGCGGCUUCGGCUGCCGAGGGUCGAUCCAUUUGGGAAAUGUUGUGUACUUCGGUAUGCAUCUCAAUUGGACCUGAUAUCAGGCAAGAUUACCCGCUGAACUUAAGCAUAUUAAUAAGCGGAGGAAAAGAAACUAACAAGGAUUCCCCUAGUAACGGCGAGUGAAGCGGGAAGAGCUCAAGCUUAAAAUCUCCGUGCAAGUUUUGCGCGGCGAAUUGUAGUCUAUAGAGGCGUGAUCAGUGUGGGCGCUUGGGGCAAGUUCCUUGGAAGAGGACAGCAUGGAGGGUGAUACUCCCGUUCAUCCCUGAGUUGCUCGUGCGUACGAUCCGUUUUCUUUGAGUCGCGUUGUUUGGGAAUGCAGCGCAAAGUAGGUGGUAAAUUCCAUCUAAAGCUAAAUAUUGGUGCGAGACCGAUAGCGAACAAGUACCGUGAGGGAAAGAUGAAAAGAACUUUGAAAAGAGAGUUAAAGAGUACCUGAAACUGCUGAAAGGGAACCGAAUCGUUUCCAGUGUCUAUAAUCCGUGGUAUAUUUCAUUGGCGAGUGUGUGCGUGCGUGUGCUGUGGCAGCGGCUUUUUUGGCUGCGCUCGGCGUGUGUGCUGUGUGUGCUUGCUGGUGCCCUGUGCUGCGGUGGGACGUCAAGGUCAGUUCGUAUGCUGCGGGAAAUGGCCGCCGAGGAGGUAGGGCUUACGCUUGCGUUUGUCUGUUAUAUCUUGGUGGACGAGUAGUCGCGGUUGGGACUGAGGUGCCUACAACGUGUUUUUGAGUGGGCCUGUGUCUCUGUGUGCGCCGUGUGCGGAUAGCUUGCUAUGCGUGUGUGGUUGUGUGUGGAUUGAUGUGGGUUUUAACUUGUUGCCGUUCGGGACGUUGACGAAAUGGAGCGAUUUGACCCGUCUUGAAACACGGACCAAGGAGUCUAACAUGU